AUUGAACGUUGGCGGCACGCUUUAUACAUGCAAGUCGAACGAGAAAGCACUUCGGUGCGAGUACAGUGGCGGACGGGUGAGUAACGCGUAGGAAUCUACCUAGUAGUGGGGGACAACUCGGGGAAACUCGAGCUAAUACCGCAUACACUCUACGGAGAAAAGCAGGGGACCUUCGGGCCUUGCGCUAUUAGAGGAGCCUGCGUUGGAUUAGCUAGUUGGUGGGGUAAAGGCCUACCAAGGCGACGAUCCAUAGCUGGUCUGAGAGGACGAUCAGCCACACUGGAACUGAGACACGGUCCAG
rnacentral:rRNA from 1 species